GACGAACGCUGGCGGCGUGCUUAACACAUGCAAGUCGAGCGGUAAGGCCCUUUCGGGGGUACACGAGCGGCGAACGGGUGAGUAACACGUGGGUGACCUGCCCUCAGCUCUGGGAUAAGCCUGGGAAACCGGGUCUAAUACCGGAUAUGACUCCAUGACGCAUGUUGUGGGGUGGAAAGCCUUGUGCGGCUGAGGAUGGGCCCGCGGCCUAUCAGCUUGUUGGUGGGGUGAUGGCCUACCAAGGCGACGACGGGUAGCCGGCCUGAGAGGGCGACCGGCCACACUGGGACUGAGACACGGCCCAGGACUCCUACGGGAGGCAGCAGUGGGGAAUCUUGCGCAAUGGGCGAAAGCCUGACGCAGCGACGCCGCGUGAGGGAUGACGG
rnacentral:rRNA from 1 species